AUGAACGCUGGCGGCGUGCCUAAUACAUGCAAGUCGAGCGAACAGACGAGGAGCUUGCUCCUCUGACGUUAGCGGCGGACGGGUGAGUAACACGUGGAUAACCUACCUAUAAGACUGGGAUAACUUCGGGAAACCGGAGCUAAUACCGGAUAACAUGUUUAACCGCAUGGUUCAACAGUGAAAGACGGUCUUGCUGUCACUUAUAGAUGGAUCCGCGCCGCAUUAGCUAGUUGGUAAGGUAACGGCUUACCAAGGCAACGAUGCGUAGCCGACCUGAGAGGGUGAUCGGCCACACUGGAACUGAGACACGGUCCAGACUCCUACGGGAGGCAGCAGUAGGGAAUCUUCCGCAAUGGGCGAAAGCCUGACGGAGCAACGCCGCGUGAGUGAAGAAGGUCUUCGGAUCGUAAAACUCUGUUAUUAGGGAAGAACAAAUGUGUAAGUAACUAUGCACGUCUUGACGGUACCUAAUCAGAAAGCCACGGCUAACUACGUG
rnacentral:rRNA from 1 species